rnacentral:rRNA from 1 species
CAGCAGCCGCGGGAAUACGGAGGGUGCAAGCGUUAAUCGGAAUUACUGGGCGUAAAGCGCACGCAGGCGGUCUGUCAAGUCAGAUGUGAAAUCCCCGGGCUUAACCUGGGAACUGCAUUUGAAACUGGCAGACUGGAGUCUUGUAGAGGGGGGUAGAAUUCCAGGUGUAGCGGUGAAAUGCGUAGAGAUCUGGAGGAAUACCGGUGGCGAAGGCGGCCCCCUGGACAAAGACUGACGCUCAGGUGCGAAAGCGUGGGGAGCAAACAGGAUUAGAUACCCCGGUAGUCCCUGUCUCUUAUAC